rnacentral:rRNA from 1 species
UACAGAGGUCUCAACCGUUGUUCGGAUUCAUUGGGCGUAAAGGGUGCGUAGGCGGUCGUGCAAGUCGGAUGUGAAAUCUCAGGGCUCAACCCUGAAACUGCAUUCGAUACUGCGCGGCUAGAGUGCUGGAGGGGAGACUGGAAUUUACGGUGUAGCAGUGAAAUGCGUAGAUAUCGUAAGGAAGACCAGUGGCGAAGGCGAGUCUCUGGACAGCAACUGACGCUGAGCACGAAGGCCAGGGGAGCAAACGGG